CAACCAUCUUCUCCGCACCCGCCAUCAUCCCUUUGGUGAAGCAGAUCUGAGCGAGACAAACGCAGCGCACCGUGGGUCAGUUAGCUCUGUCUUCGCUGAAGACAUAUCUACUCAGCUGUUUAUUCAUUCUGUGACACUGAGAUGCAUUUGAGACUAAGGCCUCACCACGACCUGGGGGAGUGCUACCACCCAGACAGACACCAUUUGGGAUAAAGGCUAUUUGCACGGCUUGUGUCUUAGCUGUGGCCGGAAGCUGCUAUGAACAUCAAUGCAGAAUUCGUUCUUCAAAGCUUUGUUUUAAUUCUUUGGGAAAAAUUCCAGCAUUCAAACACAGCAGAGUAAAGUAACUCCGGUUUGUGAGUGAGAAGAAGGAACCAACCUGCAUUGUAUAGGGCAUCCAAAAAGGCCCGGAACCAGCCUUCCGUCUGC